rnacentral:snRNA from 1 species
CGUUUACGCACUUUUAGACUAUC